rnacentral:rRNA from 1 species
UACGUAGGUGGCAAGCGUUGUCCGGAUUUACUGGGCGUAAAGAGCGCGCAGGCGGUCGUCCAAGUCGCGUGUGAAAGCCCCCCGGCUCAACUGGGGAGGGUCACGCGAUACUGGUCGACUCGAAGGCAGGAGAGGGUAGUGGAAUUCCCGGUGUAGUGGUGAAAUGCGUAGAUAUCGGGAGGAACACCAGUGGCGAAGGCGGGUUGCUGGGCUGAUACUGACGCUGAGGCGCGAAAGCCAGGGGAGCGAACGGG